CACUACUUUCAGGGCUGAGGUCUAUCUUCUCUGCACUAACAACAACUCCUUCCACUUCUACGGACUCACUGCCUUCUGCUUGAGAGGUCACAUCACUCACUUCAUCCUGAGGCUCAGCUAGAAGACUAGAAGCCAGACUCAUACCACCCAAGAAGUAGCCUGGAGAUUCUUCUCUGGAGAACCUGAUAUUUGGAAGCCCCUCCGAUACAACAAUUGGGACUCCAUCUAGUUUCCACAUUAUGAAGCCCAUCUGUCCCUACUCAUAUUCCAACCAUAGUCAGUGCUUCACUCUUAAACAUGAACAUUUAGGAGGGACAUAAACUGGAAGAAAAAACAAAAGACAAAGCAGCAAAUAAAUGGGGACAGGGAAGCAUUUGGAAGAAUCAGAAGCAAUGCAAGAAAAAGCAAAGAAGACUCAGUGGGGAAAACACCUAUAAUUAACAUCAUCAGAAAGAAAGAACAGUACAUCCAUGAAAUAAUGUACUUUUAAAUUUUUUUAAAAGAAGAAAUUAAAAAUAGCAAAAAGUUGUGUGUGUUUGUACCAGGGAUUGAACCCAAAGAUGCAUAACCACUGAGCCACAUCCUAGCCCUCUUUUAUUUUUUAUUUUGAGACAGGGUUUUGCUAAGUUACUGAGGCUGGCUUCGAACCUGUAAUCCUCUUCCUGAGCCACUGGGAUUAUAGGCGUGUACCACCAUGCCCAGCAUGAAAAGUUUUUUCAAAAAGUUAAUGGAAGAGCUGAAAGAGAAUGAUUGAGGAACUCUCAAAGACAUAACAAAGGAGAAAUAAAAGUGAAUGGAGUUUUAAAAAAAGAAUUAAGUAAUGAGGUCCAACUCUGACUAUAAGAAAGACAAAAGACAGAAAAAGAGGAGAAAAAUAAUUUAAGAAAUAUCAGAACAAAUUUUAGAACCGAAGAAUUUUCUUAUGAAGACUAAAUGAGCCCCUAAAUGCUCAACGAUAUGAAUGAAGAAACAAAAGACUACACCAGGCUCAUUACCACGAUAUUUUACAACAUCUGAGAUUUAAAGAUCCUGAGUUGGGGGCAGGUGACAAAGAAUCAGGAAUAAAAUUGACAUUUAGGCUUUUUCAAAGCAAUGUUGAAAACUAGAAGAUAUUUCCUUCAAAAUUCUCCAAGAAAAUUAUUUCUAAUUUAGAAUUCCACAUCCUACCAAUCAAUUAUGAGGGUAAACCAAGGCAUUUUCAGACAAGCAAGAACUGAAAAUGCAAGGUUUUACUUCCCUCAUCUUCUGUCUCAAGAAGCUUCUAAAGCCGUAAAGUUGAGAAUAAAUCAGGGAAAGAUCAAGGAACAACACAGAAAACAGAAUACCCACCACAGAAGACAGGCAAAGAGAAUUUUAGAUGGUGAUAAAGCUUGAGAUGACAACUAGGCAGUGGGCCAAGAACAACCAGUUCAGACUAGAAUAGAGGAAGAAGGAGUAGCCAAGAAGAAAAUCUCUAAGGGUUUUUUUUAAAAAAAGGAAUGGAUAGAUCACCUGAUGUGGAUGAGAAUGGGAAGCCUUUAGCAGUUUCAUCAAAGUGUAAAAAUACAUUCUUAAAGAAACAAGAAAAUUUUUAAAUGAAGCAAUGAUUAGCCCCAGGAAAAAUAAGAGGUUGUUUAGUUGUAGCAUACCAAGUGGUUCAUUUGCGGACAAGAUUUACAUAGUCAUAACAUGGGAUAUUAGGAGUAAGGGGAGGCAAAUUCACAUGGGAAGUGGGGUAGGAGACAUGGAAGAAAAGGCAGCAAUUAAAAAAAAUAACUAUAAGCCUUAUGGAACUAUGUGGGUUUUAAAAUAUAAAUAUAUAUAUUUAAGAUUAAAUUUUUAAAAACAUUUUUUAAUUUUUUUAAUUUUUUAUUUUUUUGGCACUGGGGAUUGAACCCAGGGUAUUUAACCACUAAGUUAUAUUCCCAGAACUUUCCCUUUUUAUUUUAAGAAAGACUCUCUUGUUAAGUUGCUGAGAGUUAAAUUGCUGAGAUUAGCUUUGAACUUGUGAUCCUCCUGCCUCAGACUCCUGAAUUGCUGGGAUUACAGGCAUGUACCAUAGCACCCGGCUUAGAUCCUAACAUUCUAAAGCUAUAUACCCUGAUAUUUUUGCAAAUCUCCAAAUUCACAAAUACUAUUAUGGCAUUUCACAAAAAUUGCUAGAGGUAGAGGCCAACAUGGAUACACGACUUACCAGGCUCAACCACUUGUUCAGGCCAAAGUUGUUCAGGAUCCUGGGAAAUAAAUGAAAUGGAAAACUCUAAAUUCACCAAAACCAAGGGUCUACUAUGGCAACUGAGAAUAAUAUGCCAUUUUGCUAGCAUUAUACCUGGAAAUAAAUAUUGGAAUGAUGUAUCCAAGCAGUAGCCACAUGUUGGCCAUAUUCUUUUACUUUUUUUUUUUUUUAACUUUUGAUGACUUUUCUUUUUUUUUUUAAUAUAUUUUUAAUAUUUAUUUCUUAGUUUUCGGCGGACACAACAUCUUUGUUUGUAUGUGGUGCUGAGGAUCAAACCCGGGCCGCACGCAUGCCAGGCGAGCGCGCUACCGCUUGAGCCACAUCCCCAGCCCAUUUGAUGACUUUUCAACAACAAAAUAUAUCACCUGAACACACUUUCCCAAUGAA